GUACAGUGCUGGAUAUCGGGCCUGACUGGGGUGCGUGAAGGUUCGGUCAUUGAAAUGUUUUAAUUGAACGGUAAAUAAACCGAAAGUCGUGGGAUAAAAAGCAAGUUACCUGCUAUGGAAUGACGACAGAACAAUCAGCACUAGAACGAGCCGACAGAGACGCUUUGUGACGAUACGAAGGUGUGCGCAAGUUCGGUGUUCACAGCGUCUGCAACUUCAGCUACGAUGGACACACAGCGAAUCAUAGCGUGUACAAGUCUGCUGGUCGAUAUCAAAAGGAGUCAGAGAACAAGGCAGUCAGCUUCCUCGUUGCCUGUUAUCAAGACGUGAUGAAAUCCAAUGGUCAACAAAGGCCGCUCCGAUAUCACAGGCAGUGCCUGCAUACGUGAAUGCAGGGCACGAGAGGACUUCCUGUAUUUUCUUUCAUAAAGCGAUUGCGAGAAUCACGGGAGCCGCAGAAAAUAAAAACGCUGCUGCCAGAA